CCAUGCAGUCGAGGGGUAGAAGUCUUCGGACUUUGAGACCGGCGCACGGGUGCGUAACGCGUAUGCAAUCUACCUUUUACAGAGGGAUAGCCCAGAGAAAUUUGGAUUAAUACCUCAUAGUAUAUAGACUCGGCAUCGAGAUUAUAUUAAAGUCACAACGGUAAAAGAUGAGCAUGCGUCCCAUUAGCUAGUUGGUAAGGUAACGGCUUACCAAGGCUACGAUGGGUAGGGGUCCUGAGAGGGAGAUCCCCCACACUGGUACUGAGACACGGACCAGACUCCUACGGGAGGCAGCAGUGAGGAAUAUUGGACAAUGGGCGCAAGCCUGAUCCAGCCAUGCCGCGUGCAGGAUGACGGUCCUAUGGAUUGUAAACUGCUUUUAUACGAGAAGAAACACUCCUUCGUGAAGGAAUUUGACGGUAUCGUAAGAAUAAGGAUCGGCUAACUCCGUGCCAGCAGCCGCGGUAAUACGGAGGAUCCAAGCGUUAUCCGGAAUCAUUGGGUUUAAAGGGUCCGUAGGCGGUUUGGUAAGUCAGUGGUGAAAGCCCAUCGCUCAACGGUGGAACGGCCAUUGAUACUGCCAGACUUGAAUUAUUAGGAAGUAACUAGAAUAUGUAGUGUAGCGGUGAAAUGCUUAGAGAUUACAUGGAAUACCAAUUGCGAAGGCAGGUUACUACUAAUGGAUUGACGCUGAUGGACGAAAGCGUGGGUAGCGAACAGGAUUAGAUACCCUGGUAGUCCACGCCGUAAACGAUGGAUACUAGCUGUUGGAAGCAAUUUCAGUGGCUAAGCGAAAGUGA
rnacentral:rRNA from 1 species